GAAACCACAGGGCCGGAGUGGCCACCGGGGAGAGUUGGAGCCCUUGUGCUGGUGACAGGCGCAGAGGUAGUGCAAAUGGAGAGAGGACAUGGGGUAUUCUGGAACCCACAGGACUUGCGGAAAUGCGGGAAGGAGUGGAGUGAGAGCCAUAGGCAACAGGGAAAAGAGUCAAGCGGGGUGGCGCUGUUUCCAGCCCCAGCAGGGGGUAGGAGGUGGUGCCAGUUUCCUACGGUGGAAACCCAAGGAAGGCACGAAGCAGGUGUGCUUUGGAAGGAACAGUUCUGGCGCAGCGCCUCUUCCUGUCGGCCCCCUUCUACAGUGCGCCUGGACACAGGGUGACGGCGCAGAGCUGCGCGGGCAUCCCCAGCUCCGUGGCUCCGGCUCAGAAAUGUAACAGGACCCACUGCGCACCUGCACUCUUCUAGACUCCGACGGUUCCACAGGGAACAAAACAGGAGAUUCUGGCCUCGUAGGACACCAGCGAGAGCACCUCCAGGAGAAGCCAGCAGGGCGACAGGAAUGGCCCCUCGAAGGAGGUGACACCUGAGCAGAGACCUGAGGGAGCCUUCGUGCAUCUGAAAUGAAUUUGGCAGAAUGACACUCUCUUUCUUGUGAAAUCCAGUCCUGCCUUGGGAUCCACAGAUGCCCCGACAUGUCCUACCUUCCCCGUCCCUUGGUCCCUCAUUCAGUCACUCUACAAGUAUGUUUUGAGCCUUUGUUAGGCACCAAACACUGGUGAUCCUGCUUUGAAUAGAUCAUGUCCCUGUGCUGGGAAAGAUGUGUUCAAUGGAGGAGACAGGGAGCAAACAAACAAACAAACAAACAAACGGUGCUGUGGCUUGGAUGUGUGUCCCCUCCUAAUCUCAUGUUGAAAUGUGACCCCCAGUGUUGGAAGUGGGCUUAGCUGGAGGUGUUGAGUCAUGGGGGUGGAUCCGGUAGCGAGGUGCCAGAGCUGAUUGUUUAAAAGAGCCUGAGGCCGGGUACUGUGGCUCCUGCCUGUAAUCCCAGCACUUUGGGAGGCCGAGGCGGGCGAAUCACGAGGGCAGGAGAUCGAGACCAUCCUGGCUAUGGUGAAACCCCGUCUCUACUAAAAAUACAAAAAAUUAGCCAGGCAUGGUGGUGGGCACCUGUAGACCCAGCUACUCCAGAGGCUGAGGCAGGAGAAUGGCGUGAACCCGGGAGGCGGAGCUUGCAGUGAGCCGAGAUCCUGCCGCUGCAUUCUAGCCUGGGCGACAGAACAAGACUCUGUCUCAAUUAAAAAAAAAAGAAAAAAAAAAUUGCCUGGCACUUCCCCCUCUUUUUCUCACUCCCUCUCUUGCCAUGUAACACAUCUGUUCGCCCUUUGCCUUCUACCAUGAGUAAAAGCUUCCUGAGGCCUCACCAAACCUGAGUAGAUGCUGGUGUCAUGCUGGUACAGCCUGCAGAACUGUGAACCAAAUAAGCCUCUUUUCUU